AAGUCGUAACAAGGUUUCCGUAGGUGAACCUGCGGAAGGAUCAUUAUCGAAAACUCUCGUCGCGCUGUGCGUCUCCGCACGCGCGACGUCCGUUCUCCUCACACCUGUGCACCUUCGGGUCUGGCCUCCGCGCCGACCCGCCUUUCUUUAUCUUUACACCGUAACACGAAUGUAACACCUUGCGUAUAACAUAUGCACAUCACAACUUUCAACAACGGAUCUCUUGGCUCUC
rnacentral:misc_RNA from 1 species